AGUCGGUGGCUGUUAGAACGACGGUCGGGCUUCCUUGCAAGCACCACAAGAUGUGGUCAACACAUCUAAGCUCAUAGCAAGCUCCACAGACGAAGGAGAAGAGUACCUGUAACAAUGGACCCAUCUGUUUCUUUGGAGUAUGUUGCAGUAGCAGAUUUCCACUCUUCAUCCUUAGCCGCAAAGAGAUUGGGUGUUUGCAGAAGAACCAAGUAGACUACUACAGCUACAAAGGCAGCCAUUAAAGAGAAUAUAAGGUCUUGAAGAAGCCUGUGCAGUAUGUAUACCUAAAAUCAGGCUUCUCUGAUUGCCGGAGCACUGUCCUGAAAAUAGAAAAACUUUGACAAAUCUCCAAUUUUGCAGCCCUUCGUUCACAUUGGUGGCGCGUUUAACGAGGCUAAGGAAAAGACACGCACCCUGUUCUUGUAUCUUCUAGGCCGCCGUUAAUGGGGGCUCAACGAAGCAAACUUGGAGCCUCCAUUUCUGCCAUUAUCGAGGUAGAACGAAGGGUUUGAGGCUUUAUGAAAAUGGCGGCGGCAGAUACAGAGGCUACAGAGCAGAAAGCCAUGGAAGCCAGGUAUGUGUUCCUUUGCAUUUUAAGACCCAUGGAUAUAAAGAAACUUAAGUUAAUAAGAACUCAAAAAGUGGCCUGUCUUGGUUUUGAUUGUUGGACCCGAAUGUGUUUUUAAAAGAGUGGCUUUUGGUGGUUUAA